rnacentral:rRNA from 1 species
CCAGACUCCUACGGGAGGCAGCAGUGGGGAAUAUUGGGCAAUGGGCGCAAGCCUGACCCAGCAAUGCCGCGUGAAGGAAGAAGGCUUUCGGGUUGUAAACUUCUUUGACAGGGGAAGAGCAGAAGACGGUACCCUGAAAACAAGCCACGGCUAACUACGUGCCAGCAGCCGCGGUAAUACGUAGGUGGCAAGCGUUGUCCGGAUUUACUGGGUGUAAAGGGCGUGUAGCCGGGAAGGCAAGUCAGAUGUGAAAUCUGGAGGCUCAACCUGUGGCCUGCAUUUGAAACUGUUUUUCUUGAGUACUGGAGAGGCAGACGGAAUUCCUAGUGUAGCGGUGAAAUGCGUAGAUAUUAGGAGGAACACCAGUGGCGAAGGCGGUCUGCUGGACCGUGACUGACGUUGAGGCUCGAGAGCGUGGGGAGCAAACAGGAUUAGAUACCCUAGUA